GUAGGUGAACCUGCGGAAGGAUCAUUACUGAGAACUUGCCCUUAGGGGUAGAUCUCCCACCCUAUGUUUACAUACUUUGUUGCUUUGGCAGGCCUGCCUCUGUGCUACUGGCCUUGGCUAGUUAGUGCCUGCCAGAGAACCAAAACCCUGAAUCACAUAAUGUCAGAGUACUAUAUAAUAGUUAAAACUUUCAACAACGGAUCUCUUGGUUCUGGCAUCGAUGAAGAACGCAGCAUCUGACUGACUCAGG
rnacentral:misc_RNA from 1 species